UACGUAGGGAGCAAGCGUUGUUCGGAUUUACUGGGCGUAAAGGGCGCGUAGGCGGCGCGACAAGUCACUUGUGAAAUCUCCGGGCUUAACUCGGAACGGUCAAGUGAAACUGUCAUGCUAGAGUGCAGAAGGGGCAAUCGGAAUUCUUGGUGUAGCGGUGAAAUGCGUAGAUAUCAAGAGGAACACCUGAGGUGAAGACGGGUUGCUGGGCUGACACUGACGCUGAACUGCGAAAGCUAGGGGAGCGAACGGG
rnacentral:rRNA from 1 species